rnacentral:rRNA from 1 species
CAGUCGCCGCGGGAAUACGAAGGGGGCUAGCGUUGUUCGGAUUUACUGGGCGUAAAGGGCGCGCAGGCGGACUGAUAAGUCAGGGGUGAAAUCCCAAGGCUCAACCUUGGAAUUGCCUUUGAUACUGUUUGUCUUGAGUUCGAGAGAGGUAAGUGGAACUGCGAGUGUAGAGGUGAAAUUCGUAGAUAUUCGCAAGAACACCGGUGGCGAAGGCGGCUCACUGGCCCGGAACUGACGCUGAGGCACGAAAGCGUGGGGAGCAAACAGGAUUAGAUACCCGCGUAGUCCCUGUCUCUUAUAA